AAAGAUCGGGGCCUCGGUGCUGGCGCGCGGCGCAAGGCCCAGCAGGGAGGCGCCGGGCGCUCCCAGACUCUGACCGACGGCAGGCGCGAAGGUGGCCACGGCGAGCAGGAGGCCCCACAUGGUGAAGCCCAGAGGGUCGCCUCCCCAGAAGGAAGGAAUUGCGUCCACUGUGCGCCUCUGGCCGAUGCUUUGCCCUUGCAAGGAGUCCUCAGAGAGAUACUGCCAUCCCCAGGUGCCAAUUGUGCAUUAAAUCCCAAGGCUUCCAACAGAACUGAACAUUUACUUUGAAUAUGUCUAAAAACAGAUAAUUAAUUUCAUUUUCUGGAGACAUCCCACAUGGAACAUCUGUCUUUUGAUGCCAGGCUGAGUUGCUUGCUUUUUCACCUGAGAGCACAGCUGCCUGUGUUUAGCCUAAUUUCUUAAGCCCCAUAUUAUCCUCCUUCUUAGUUUAAUUCCUUGUUUUUCUGAUGUACAUCCUCCAGUAACUUUCUAAGGAAAAGCAUAUGCAAAAUCAAAUGUUUGAGACUUUGUAUGGUUUAAAGUGUCUUUAUUUUGCCUUCACACUUGUCAUUUGAACAGUUACAUGUUUCUAGGUUGAAAAUCAUUUUCCCUUGAAAUUUUGCAGGCAUUGCUUUGUUGCUCUGGGAAGAGCCAGAGCAAGGGCAAUCAAUAAAUCGUCCCGAAGGCUGGUGACAUUGGCUCCAUGAACUGUUGAGCCCAUAGCCACCAAAGAUGUCAAGGCCACCAAGCUGGAGGGAUUGGAUAGAGUCCACUGGAGGCAGAUAUGCAACCUGAUUCUCUACCUGUCUCCUCCUCUCCUAGGGGCUGUAUGGCCAUGUCCCCCUCACUCCAUCACGGGAUGGAGUUUUCCUUCAAAGUAUGACAUGUGGACAAGGAUUAAAUUCUUUCAGUUAUGACCCAUUUCCAUUCUUACCUCUCAAGUCACUGAAUUGGGAUGUGUUGGAGCCAUCACCCAAUUACAGAUUACCAGUGAGGAUAGGUUUCUUUCCUAGGUGACCAAUCAUAUUCAUUUUCCUUAAUUUCAUUCUCAGAGAUUAACUCUAACCUCCAGUUUGGGGGUUACUAUGCUGUAGCCCUCUAUGCCAUUUCCGGAACCCCAGUAUCUGAAACACUUCCUACAAACCAUAGUAUUUAAAAUGCUUCAACAGCUGCCUCUUGCCCAUUCCCAUAUAGCAGGUCACGUGGGAGUCCAACCCCAGAAAGCCUCAUGCUACUUUGUGGUGGAGUCUAUCUCUGCAUUCC